UAGGGAAUCUUCCGCAAUGGACGAAAGUCUGACGGAGCAACGCCGCGUGAGUGAAGAAGGUUUUCGGAUCGUAAAACUCUGUUGUUAGGGAAGAACAAGUGCCGUUCAAAUAGGGCGGCACCUUGACGGUACCUAACCAGAAAGCCCCGGCUAACUACGUGCCAGCAGCCGCGGUAAUACGUAGGGGGCAAGCGUUGUCCGGAAUUAUUGGGCGUAAAGCGCGCGCAGGCGGUCUUUUAAGUCUGAUGUGAAAGCCCACGGCUUAACCGUGGAGGGCCAUUGGAAACUGGAGGACUUGAGUACAGAAGAGGAGAGUGGAAUUCCACGUGUAGCGGUGAAAUGCGUAGAGAUGUGGAGGAACACCAGUGGCGAAGGCGACUCUCUGGUCUGUAACUGACGCUGAGGUGCGAAAGCGUGGGUAGCGAACAGG
rnacentral:rRNA from 2 species